rnacentral:tmRNA from 1 species
GGGGGUGACAGGAUUCGACGUAAAUUUUAGGCCGAAGACGCAUGCCGAGUCGGCAACAUAGGCUCGUAAAAUCUUUCAGUUGCAACUUUGUAUAUCUGCAAACGAUACACAAUACGCUAUAGCUGCUUAAUUUAUUGGUAGCUAUCCACAAAUCGGAAUUUGCUUGUAGUUUCCGAGCAGUGGUCAUAAUCACAACAAGAUCGCUAUCUAAAAGAUGCCCCGAAUUUUGGAUCUGGCUAAAAACAUAUGGGGAUUGCGACUACACAAUAUGUUCCGCUCGUCGAGCACUCUAGUCGUACAAACACAGAAGGCGAUGCUACGCAUGUAGUUGUCGGAGGUGGAAAAUUUUUCGGACGCGGGUUCAAUUCCCGCCACCUCCACCA